UACUUAGCAUAUUUUGAUAGUAUGCGGAUUAAUAUAACUAUAAUUAAUAGUUAAAGAAAGGGUAG
ncrna:Lactobacillus paragasseri K7 emrB-Lactobacillus RNA